CACCAAAGGUGUUGUAACUCUUUCACCUUGGUCCUGUCCUAAGGGAGCCCUGCAACAUAUCUCAGGACCCAGCACUCAGGAACAUUGUGACAUCGUUGGACAUAGCAUCUAGGAAAUGUGACUCUUCUCUCCUGCCUAGGUCCUGCCCACUAAAGGAAUUGUGACAUACCACUGAGUGCAAAACCUAGCCCUGUCUACAGUGGACAUGGUACCAUAUGACUUGAGGCUGUAUCCAGGUGAUGUGACUCUCCUGACUUGGCCCUGCCUGCAAAGGAAAUUAUAAUGUAUCCUGAGCUCAGAAUCCA